rnacentral:rRNA from 1 species
AGAGGGUGCGAGCGUUGUCCGGAAUCACUGGGCGUAAAGGGCGCGUAGGCGGCUCAGUAAGGUUGCGGUGAAAGCCCGGGGCUCAACCCCGGGUCGGCCGUGGCAACUGCUGGGCUGGAGCACUGUAGAGGCAGGUGGAAUUCCGGGUGUAGCGGUGGAAUGCGUAGAGAUCCGGAAGAACACCGGUGGCGAAGGCGGCCUGCUGGGCAGUAGCUGACGCUGAGGCGCGACAGCGUGGGGAGCAAACAGGAUUAGAUACCCUGGUAGUCCACGCCGUAAACGAUGGGCACUAGGUGCUUGGGGGAGCGACCCUCCGAGUGCCGGCGCUAACGCAUUAAGUGCCCCGCCUGGGGAGUACGGCCGCAAGRCUG